rnacentral:misc_RNA from 1 species
AAAAAAGAAACCCACCCGAGUAUUCCUUUCCAGAGGAACAUAAUCUUUCAGUGUGCUCUUCCGCCUCCGCCUCCGCCCUUGCCUGUCAUUUCGCCUCCGCAUCUGCAUCCGAUUCCGUCUUAACUUCGGAUCACACUUUGGGUGGUACCACUUGUAGUCAUAUAUCUCAAUCAGGUCAAUGGAUACCUCGCAUUACUGAUAAUAAGUAGAUGAGGGAAUUUAAACUUUUAUUUUAUA